UAUGGCCACAUCAUGUUGAAACACCAGUUCCUGUAUGAUCACCAAAGUUAAGCAACAUUGAUCUUGGUCUGUACCUUGAUGGGUGACUGCUUAGGAAUUCAUAGUGCU